AAAAAAAUAAGCUAACUAAGCUAAAGGGUUCAUACCCCUUAUAUAAAGGUUUAACCCCUUUUUUUUUUA
rnacentral:tRNA from 1 species